rnacentral:rRNA from 1 species
GACGAACGCUGGCGGCGUGCCUAACACAUGCAAGUCGAACGGAGAUUUUAUUUAUGAAAUCUUAGUGGCGAACGGGCGAGUAACGCGUAGACAACCUGCCUUUUAGAUGGGGACAACACCGCGAAAGUGGUGCUAAUACCGAAUGUUGUAUUUUGGUCGCAUGAUUGAGAUACUAAAGAUGGCCUCUAUUUAUAAGCUAUCACUAAAAGAUGGGUCUGCGUCUGAUUAGCUAGUUGGUGAGGUAAUGGCUCACCAAGGCGACGAUCAGUAGCCGGUCUGAGAGGAUGAACGGCCACACUGGGACUGAGACACGGCCCAGACUCCUACGGGAGGCAGCAGUGGGGAAUCUUCCGCAAUGGACGAAAGUCUGACGGAGCAACGCCGCGUGAGUGAAGAAGGUUUUCGGAUCGUAAAACUCUGUUUUCAGGGACGAAUGUGCGAUGUGUAAAUAAUGCAUUGUAAUGACGGUACCUGAGUAGAAAGCCACGGCUAACUACGUGCCAGCAGCCGCAGUAA